UGGGGAAUCUUGGACAAUGGGGGCAACCCUGAUCCAGCCAUGCCGCGUGAGCGAUGAAGGCCUUAGGGUUGUAAAGCUCUUUCAGCGGGGAAGAUAAUGACGGUACCCGCAGAAGAAGCCCCGGCUAACUCCGUGCCAGCAGCCGCGGUAAUACGGAGGGGGCUAGCGUUGUUCGGAAUUACUGGGCGUAAAGCGCACGUAGGCGGAUCAGCAAGUUGGGGGUGAAAUCCCGGGGCUCAACCUCGGAACUGCCUUUAAAACUGUUGGUCUGGAGGUCGAGAGAGGUGAGUGGAAUUCCGAGUGUAGAGGUGAAAUUCGUAGAUAUUCGGAGGAACACCAGUGGCGAAGGCGGCUCACUGGCUCGAUACUGACGCUGAGGCGCGAAAGCGUGGGGAGCAAACAGGAUUAGAUACCCUGGUAGUCCACGCCGUAAACUAUGAGAGCUAGACGUCGGGCGGCUUGCCGUUCGGUGUCGCAGCUAACGCAUUAAGCUCUCCGCCUGGGGA
rnacentral:rRNA from 1 species